CGCCCGGCGCGGGCUCGGCGGAGGGUCGGGGGGCGGCAGGGGCCGGGGUGGCGCGGUGUGCCCGCGGCGUGCCCGCGGCGCUCUGGUCGCGGCAGAUUCGCCCCGGCCGCCGCCCUCGCCGCAGCCUGAGGGGCGCUGAGGAGAACGGGAGGUUUUCGGAAGAGGCGCACAGAGGAGCCCCGGGCUGACCGCCGGCCCCGCCCGCAGGCUCACGCCAUGCUGCGGGCGCUUCCCCGUCUCUGAGGAGAGUCGAAGGGGCGUCAGGGGACGGCGGCGACGCGAUUGCUAAGUCUGAGCGACGAGAGGCAAACAUGGCCCAAGCACCCACUGAUCCGAGUAGUGCAGAAACUGCUGACCCAGAGGAGAGUUCUCCAAACAUGAUAGUCUACAGAAAGGUAAGGAUUUGAACCUGUGGCAAAAAUCCCAUUUCUAUGUGGUUGAUUCAUGAAAGAAUCCCAU
ensembl:lncRNA